UUUUUUUGUGUAAGUGGAAGAGCAACAGGUGGAACUAAUAUGUAAUCAACAAGAACCACUCCAGGAGUGGUUCCUUUAGUGGUGACCACAGACAACUUCUCCAUCCUUGUUUUUUCUUGCUAAUGUUUUGGUGACUCUUGAAUGCUGACAGUGUUGUCACUCCAGCGGUACCAUGAGACGGCGUCUACAACCCACACAAGUGGCCCAGCCUUUAACAGGCAGACUGUAACCUCUCCACUAUGACCAAGAGCUUUCUGAGGAUCCAAGAACGAGAUUUUCUGCUAAGGGAAUAGAACAACACAUCUGUUUGAAGGAAAAAGAUGUCUGGGUAUUGGACAAAAGCCUCCGUCCAUCAAUGAGAGCAUUGAGGAUGCAACAUGGCUGGAUCUUUCAGCAGGACAAUGAUCCCAAACACAUCACCAUGGACCUGUGGACCUCAAUCUAAUAAAGAAUCUGAGGAGGGAGCUGAAAAUCCAGCAGCCCCAAAACAUCACAGCUUUAACCUCUGUCACUGAAACCAGGGUUACAUUAUGAAGUACUGAGCAAAUCUUAUUUUCUGCUUUACUUUAAAAAUAAAGUUUUUAUAAAUCAGAAAA